GCAGGCCCCAGCUCUGGGGGAAACAGAGACCAAGGACCUCCUGUCCGUCUGCACCGUGCUGCCAGCUCAGCAGUGGAGCACAGCACGGGCUCACGCUCCCCAUUGCUCCCACAGAUGCAGCCAGCACCUCAACACAUGCUGACAAGACCUGGAAAAGCAUGAGAAGAGUUUUCUGCUGGGGAACACCUUGUUUGGUUAAGUUGAUGGCCACUGUGCUUGGUGCAGCACUGUGCCUGAUCAUUUGCUCUGUUGGAAUCUGGUAUUGCUGGAAGAGAAAAUGGUGCUUCUGCCCAUCUUCAGAAGACAAGCCUAACAACUCCGGCAAAGAGGACUUGACCCGUGUUCCCAGCUCUUCCCUUCUGUCCCCAUCUGCCCUGCCGCAGCUGCAGCACCCUCUUGAGCCCUUCCCCAAACUCACCCCUCCACAACGAGACCCUCCGCCCCUGAGCCCCCUGGUCCUGUUCCCCAGCUAUGACUAAAGGUGGGCAGGCCUCGUCUGCCAGGGCAGGGCUUGGCCCACGUUUUAUGUUCAAAUAAAAAUAUAGAGUUGUCAUAGA